GAGAAAAGCCUCUAGCUAGAAUAACGGUGCCCGUACCGCAAACCGACACAGGUAGUCAAGAUGAGAAUUCUAAGGUGAGCGAGCGAACUCUCGUUAAGGAACUCGGCAAAAUGACCCCGUAACUUCGGGAGAAGGGGUGCUCUUUGAGGUUCACGCUUCGAAGAGCCGCAGUGAAUAGGCCCAAGCGACUGUUUAUCAAAAACACAGGUCUCUGCUAAACCGUAAGGUGACGUAUAGGGGCUGACGCCUGCCCGGUGCUGGAAGGUUAAGAGGAGUGGUUAGCGCAAGCGAAGCUACGAAUCGAAGCCCCAGUAAACGGCGGCCGUAACUAUAACGGUCCUAAGGUAGCGAAAUUCCUUGUCGGGUAAGUUCCGACCCGCACGAAAGGCGUAACGAUUUGGGCACUGUCUCAACGAGAGACUCGGUGAAAUCAUAGUACCGGUGAAGAUGCCGGUUACCCGCGACAGGACGGAAAGACCCCGUGGAGCUUUACUGUAGCCUGAUAUUGAAAUUCGGUACAGUUUGUACAGGAUAGGUAGGAGCCUUAGAAGCGUGAGCGCUAGCUUACGUGGAGGCAUUGGUGGGAUACUACCCUAAUUGUAUUGGAUUUCUAACCCGCAGCACUUAUCGUGCUGGGAGACAGUGUCAGGCGGGCAGUUUGACUGGGGCGGUCGCCUCCUAAAGAGUAACGGAGGCGCUCAAAGGUUCCCUCAGAAUGGUUGGAAAUCAUUCAUAGAGUGUAAAGGCAUAAGGGAGCUUGACUGCGAGACCUACAAGUCGAGCAGGGUCGAAAGACGGACUUAGUGAUCCGGUGGUUCCGCAUGGAAGGGCCAUCGCUCAACGGAUAAAAGCUACCCCGGGGAUAACAGGCUUAUCUCCCCCAAGAGUUCACAUCGACGGGGAGGUUUGGCACCUCGAUGUCGGCUCAUCGCAUCCUGGGGCUGUAGUCGGUCCCAAGGGUUGGGCUGUUCGCCCAUUAAAGCGGUACGCGAGCUGGGUUCAGAACGUCGUGAGACAGUUCGGUCCCUAUCCGUCGUGGGCGUAGGAAAUUUGAGAGGAGCUGUCCUUAGUACGAGAGGACCGGGAUGGACAUACCUCUGGUGUACCAGUUGUCGUGCCAACGGCAUAGCUGGGUAGCUAUGUAUGGACGGGAUAAGUGCUGAAAGCAUCUAAGCAUGAAGCCCCCCUCGAGAUGAGAUUUCCCAACUUCGGUUAUAAGAUCCCUCAAAGAUGAUGAGGUGAAU
rnacentral:rRNA from 1 species